rnacentral:rRNA from 1 species
CCUACGUGGAGCAGCAGUAGGGAAUCUUCCACAAUGGGCGAAAGCCUGAUGGAGCAUCGCCGCGUGGGUGAAGACGGUCUUCGGAUCGUACAACCCUGUUGUUAGAGAAGAAAGUGCGUGAGAGUAACUGUUCACGUUUCGACGGUAUCUAACCAGAAAGCCACGGCUAACUACGUGCCAGCAGCCGCGGUAAUACGUAGGUGGAAAGCUUUAUCCGGAUUUAUUUGUCGUAAAGGGAACGCAGGCGGUCUUUUAAGUCUGAUGUGAAAGCCUUCGGCUUAACCGGAGUAGUGCAUUGGAAACAGGGAGACUGGAGGGCAGAAGAGGAGAGUGGAACUCCAUGUGUAGCGGUGAAAUGCGUAGAUAUAUGGAAGAACACCAGUGGCGAAAGCGGCUCUCUGGUCUGUAACUGACGCUGAGGUUCGAAAGCGUGGGUAGCAAACAGGAUUAGAUACCCCUGUAGUC